AAAUACAGGUGUUCAAGAAAAAAAUUGGUUGAUUCUUUUUUUAUCUGAAAUUCAACUUGACUUCAAAAAAGAUGAGGACGUAUGUCUUGAUCCUUGUGCUGUGUGUUCUAUCACUGGGAGUGGUCGAUCCCGUUGUCAGUCAAGACUACUCGUGUAGGAGGGGUUGCACCAGACGCCAGUGCUCCGCAGAGUGUAGACUCGGAGGACUUCGUUAUGGAUUUUGUGUACCUUGUGGGUUCUGGAGAAGCAGAUGUACUUGCUAUUUUCUCUAAGAAAAUGUACACAACAGAGCAUUGAUAUUACUCAGAAUAAAUGAAAAUAAAAAAAUAUCGCCAUUUUA